AAUUUUGGACAAUGGGGGAAACCCUGAUCCAGCCAUCCCGCGUGUAUGAUGAAGGCCNNNGGGUUNUNAAGUACUUUUGGCAGNGANNAAAAGGCAUCAACUAAUACGUGAUGCUGCAGACGGUAUAAUCACAAUAAGCACCGGCCACAUACGUUCUAGCGGCCGCGGUAAUACGUAGGGUGCAAGCGUUAAUCGGAAUUACUGGGCGUAAAGCGUGUGUAGGCGGUUCGGAAAAAAAGAUGUAAAAUCCCAAGGCUCAACCUUGGAACUGCAUUUUUAACUGCCGAGCUAGAGUAUGUCAGAGGAGGGUAGAAUUCCACGUGUAGAAGUGAAAUGCGUAGAUAUGUGGAGGAAUACCGAUGGCGAAGGCAGCCCCCUGGGAUAAUACUGACGCUCAGACACGAAAGCGUGGGGAGCAAACAGG
rnacentral:rRNA from 1 species